CAGUAGCCACGGGAAUACGUAGGUGGCAAGCGUUGUCCGGAUUUAUUGGGCGUAAAGCGAGCGCAGGCGGUCAAUUAAGUCUGAUGUGAAAGCCCCCGGCUCAACCGGGGAGGGUCAUUGGAAACUGGGAAACUUGAGUGCAGAAGAGGAGAGUGGAAUUCCACGUGUAGCGGUGAAAUGCGUAGAGAUGUGGAGGAACACCAGUGGCGAAGGCGACUCUCUGGUCUGUAACUGACGCUGAGGAGCGAAAGCGUGGGGAGCGAACAGGAUCAGAGACCCCUGUAGUCCCUGUCUCUUAUAC
rnacentral:rRNA from 1 species